GACGAACGCUGGCGGCGUGCCUAAUACAUGCAAGUAGAACGCUGAAGAGAGGAGCUUGCUCUUCUUGGAUGAGUUGCGAACGGGUGAGUAACGCGUAGGUAACCUGCCUGGUAGCGGGGGAUAACUAUUGGAAACGAUAGCUAAUACCGCAUAAAAUGGAUUAUCGCAUGAUAAUCCAUUGAAAGGUGCAAAUGCAUCACUACCAGAUGGACCUGCGUUGUAUUAGCUAGUUGGUGGGGUAACGGCUCACCAAGGCGACGAUACAUAGCCGACCUGAGAGGGUGAUCGGCCACACUGGGACUGAGACACGGCCCAGACUCCUACGGGAGGCAGCAGUAGGGAAUCUUCGGCAAUGGACGGAAGUCUGACCGAGCAACGCCGCGUGAGUGAAGAAGGUUUUCGGAUCGUAAAGCUCUGUUGUAAGAGAAGAACGAGUGUGAGAGUGGAAAGUUCACACUGUGACGGUAUCUUACCAGAAAGGGACGGCUAACUACGUGCCAGCAGCCGCGGUAAUACGUAGGUCCCGAGCGUUGUCCGGAUUUAUUGGGCGUAAAGCGAGCGCAGGCGGUUAGAUAAGUCUGAAGUUAAAGGCUGUGGCUUAACCAUAGUACGCUUUGGAAACUGUUUAACUUGAGUGCAAGAGGGGAGAGUGGAAUUCCAUGUGUAGCGGUGAAAUGCGUAGAUAUAUGGAGGAACACCGAUGGCGAAAGCGGCUCUCUGGCUUGUAACUGACGCUGAGGCUCGAAAGCGUGGGGAGCAAACAGG
rnacentral:rRNA from 1 species